rnacentral:rRNA from 1 species
AGAGAGAGACAUGCGCGCAUAUCAAUAAGCGGAGGAAAAGAAACUAACAAGGAUUCCCUUAGUAACGGCGAGUGAAGCGGGAAGAGCUCAAAUUUGAAAUCUUCAAGGUUCUACCUUGACGAAUUGUAGUUUAUAGAAGUGUUUUCUGUUAGUGGAGUGGCAAAAGUUCUUUGGAAUAGGACAUCAUAGAGGGUGAGAAUCCCGUAUUUGGUCAUUCCUCCUAGCGUUGUGAUACACUUUCAACGAGUCGGAUUGUUUGGGAAUGCAGUCCAAAAUGGGUGGUAAAUUUCAUCUAAAGCUAAAUAUUGGCGAGAGACCGAUAGCGAACAAGUACCGUGAGGGAAAGAUGAAAAGAACUUUGAAAAGAGAGUUAAACAGUACGUGAAAUUGUCAAAAGGGAAGCGUUUGACACCAGUGUUGUUUUUCCGAAAAUCAAUUACGAAUGUUUUAUUUUUGAGGAGUUAUGACUUCAUCGGCUUGCUCCUUUCUUUACGAAACUUUCUUAAUGCACUUUUCGGUUAACAAGUCAACAUCAAUUUCUUUUGUUGUAAAAGAGUCAUGAGGAAGGUGGCUUUCUUUUCGGAGAAAGUGUUUAUAGCCUUGUGCCUCUGCAAUCGGAGAGAUUGAGGUCUGCAGCGUAGAUCCUUCGGGGUUAGAUAGCAUUUGUGCUAAGUUAUAGCCUUUCAUAGACAACUUGUUGACUAUGAUUAGUCAUUGUAGCUUACUCGCUUACUGCUAUUUUACCUACGCUUAGGAUGUUGAUAGUCACAGCGUGUAC